rnacentral:lncRNA from 1 species
CUUUUUUUGUUUCCUCCUGCUUAGGUUAAUGGUGUGCAUAUGCAGGAAGAAAGAAAGCUGCUGCUUUUUGGAUCCCUUCUUGCUUCAAUGCCUCAAAAACAUCUCCUCAGUUCUUCUCUAUGUCUCCUAUCAGAAAUCCACCUCUGUAGACAGCUCUUACAGAAGACCAGGGUUGGUUCAAGUUCCAUAGACCUGAUUGACAUUGUUAGAGUGAGAAGAAGCAGCAGAAGCUAGCGUCCCUCAGUGACUACAUUCUACAACAAAAUUUCCAGUCGUUUUCCAGAAUAUAUUCACACAAUACUCUACUGUUUGUUACGGCCCUCAUAUAUUUACACACACCCUAUUCUGCCAUAGUUCUUCACUGCCAC